GAUGAAGAACGUAGCGAAAUGCGAUAAGUAGUGUGAAUUGCAGAAUUCAGUGAAUCAUCGAAUCUUUGAACGCACAUUGCGCCCCUCGGUACUCCGUGGGGCAUGCCUGUUCGAGCGUCAUUUAACCCCUCAAGCCUAGCUUGGUAUUGGGUGCUUGUCCCGCCUCUCGCGCGGCGACUCACCUCAAAGUCAUUGGCAGCCCGCAUCUCGCCGGCCGUGAGCGCAGCACAGACGCGCUCUUGGCAACGACGGAUCGGCUCUCCAAAAGCUUAUUUCAACCACUGACCUCGGAUCAGGUAGGGAUACCCGCUGAACUUAAGCAUAUCAAUAAGCGGAGGA
rnacentral:misc_RNA from 1 species